CUUUUCGUGCUAUAAAUUUACCGCGAAAAGUCGAAAUCUUGAAGUUUUUGACCCGACAAUUGUCGUGCAAACGUCAACUUUUCGACCUAGAAUCAAGCGCGAAAAGUAGAAAUUAAGAGAGCUAAUUUCAACUUCUCGUGCUAAGAUAUUUCCUCGAAAAGUUGAAAAGUCGAAGUUUGUAACGCGACAAUUGUCGUGCAAAUUUCAACUUAUCGACUGAAUUUGUAGGGCGAAAAGUAUAAAUUAAAGUCUUAACUUCUACUUUUCGUGCCAGUUCUUUGGCCGAUAAUUUCGCGAUAUUAUCGCUUAAAUUUCGACUUUUCGUUGUAGGACUAAUUUGAGUGAGCAUAACCCUACACCGGUAAGAGGUGUCUUGGUAAAAAACUGUAUACUAUCACCGUUUUUCGAAAUGUCGUUGGAAGAUGACAUUCGGCAUUAUUUUAUGCAGAAUCAUACAUACAGGGAAAUAUUGGUACUUUUACACAUGGAAAAGAAUGUCAGUAUCAGUCUUAGAAGUCUUGAGAAAAUUCUUCGUAGCCUUGGUUUGAGAAGAAGGAGAACUUUGGUUGUGCCCAGAGCUCAGGCAGCAUUAAUGACGGAAUCGAGUCGUGGUGGAGGCUAAUGCGGCAAAUGGGAAUAGGCUACUGGAUUGACUAUUUCAAAGAUCUCGAUGACAAUGGGGUAUUGUCCACUGAAAGUCCAGUUCAUGUUUGAGUAUUUUCUCAACCAUAGCAUAAUGCACAAAGUGUAUAAAUAAUUAUUGACAAAUAUGCAGGUAAGAAACCUCAACAAGAAGAUGUACAGAUAUUUUCGCAAAUAUUGUUAAAAGUAACUUAUUUAAGCUCUACUUAGAUGAUAGUGUGUGGGAGUUACUUAUAUAAUAAUACUGUGAAGAAUUUCCAAUGAAAUCGGAUUUUCUCAUUGUUUCUUGAUUUCAAGGGCAGAUAACUCAAAAGCAAGGAUGGCGACCUAUAUUUUUUAUUUCAUUUUCUCUCUGUGUGGGAAUUUUUUUCACACUAUUACAUGUAUUAUAUAUGGAUCUCCCAGACUUUUUUUGUGUGUGUUUUUUUUAUAAUUUUUUGUGUACACGUGUGUACUUUGUGACGUUACUUGGCAACGCCACAUUUUCAUUAUGUCUGCCGUAACGAUUUUACAUGAAACCGGUUGUUAGACGAAAUACAUAUUAAAAACGCAUUUGAUGUUUUUUUUAUCAUUUUUAGCUCGACUAUUCUAAGAAUAGGGAAGCUUAUCCUACUCGCCCCGGCGUCGGCGUGAGCGUUAGUGUGAGCGUCACACAAAUGUUAAAGUUUGCGUACCACCCCAAAUAUUUUCAAAGUCCAUUGAGAUAUUGCUUUCAUAUUUUGCAUACUUGUUUUCCAUCAUGACCCCAUUCUGUAAACAGGAGCAGACAACUCUAUCAAGUAUUUUGACUGAAUUAUGGCCCCUUUUCGACUUAGAAUAUGCUUAUUGUAAUGUUGAAGUUUUACUCAUAGCUUAUAUUAUACUAUCAAGCACUGAGAAUAAUCGAGCGCGCUGUCAACUGACAGCUCUUGUUUAUAUAUAUACACACACAUGUUCAUAAAUUUUUGAACUGAUUGUAUAAAUUAAUACAAUUAAUGGGUGUUUUAGCUCACAUGUCACACAGUGACAAGGUAAGCCUUUGUGAUCA